GUUUCAAAUAACCCAAAAGUACCUAGUUUAGAUUUUUAUGUUUUCAAAUUAGAUAUUUGUUUUAUCUGUUUCUAAGAGUGCAUCCCUAGGAAGAUAUUGUAUUAUCUUUCAAUAUAAUAUAAUUUCUUUGAACAAACACACGCUUCAUUUAAAUGCUUGUAAUUCUUUUUGAGGAUUACAUUCAUGGUUCAUAUAUUGCUUUUACAAUUAGCAAUCACUGUUCCAUUCUCAUUUGUUACGCUCUAUAAUUCCUGGUUUACUGGAGUAAAUGUUCAUGUUUAAUGCAUGUUACUAUACUAUGAGUAAGAAAUUAACUGACUGACAUCAAAAUGAGGUGGAUUUUAAUUUUUCUUUCAAUUUUGCGAGGUCAUAGUGGGGAGUUGCUUACAAGAUCUCCAAUAAGGAAGAUGAAGAAACUGCAAUAAAUUAUUUGGAAGUGAGGGAGAAGCAGUAUGAUCAGAAGGCUUAUCUUGAUUUGUUCACUGUAAGUUCUAAACAUAUUAACUGUAGGUCUGUAAAUCAUGUAAGCAUCUUCUGAUAUUUGUUUGCAGGAGGCCGCAGCUACAACUCCAGCUGUUUCAGGAGUAAUGGUGUAAGCAGCAGAAACCACCAUUAAUUACUAUUGUAUUUUCUUAUUUACAUUGGAUUUACCAAAUUUAAUCAUUUCUCUAUUGACACGUUCUCUUUUUAGAUAUAUAGGAUCACCAGACAAGAAGCAUAACCAAAAUUACUUGGGGCCUGCACCUCUUGAAGAGAUAGCCAAGUAUGUAUCUUAACUCAUUGCUUUUUAGAUCUAAAAAUUCUCCACCUUGCACUAACCAAGAAAUCUAUUCAAUUGGAAAAUCACAUUUUUAAAUAUACAAUGCAACUUGCUUAUGCACCUGUGAUCCACUUUCCGCAAAGCAAACACGAAAUAUUAUUUAGGGCAAUUAUCUGGCAUUUACCUGAUCCGAAGUCUGGAUCAACGAAUAAUCAACAGUCAUUUGGGUUACCAAGUUAUUGAUAUAGUGAUAAAUUAGAACAGCCGAGAAGGUUGUUCCACCUCUCUUGGUAGAUAAUUUUACUAAUUAUGCGUUGCUAGACCAUGGCAUUGGCAUGGCUCAUAUGCAAAGUCAUUCCCAAUCCUAUGUGCAGACAAAUUGUACAUGCUGAAGGCCCUUCAGGACCCAAUAAAGACUAUCUUUUCCAACUUGAAAAAGCCCUUCUUCAAAUUGGAUGUAAGGACAAACAUAUAAUGGAUCUUGGAAGUGAAGUGAGGCGCGUUCUUUCAGAGAGGGAGCCUGACCUCAUAAUGCUAUGAACAUUAGGCUUAUAUUCUUAGAUUCGUUGAAAUGGAGCAGUCAUCCAAAAAGACAUUGUAAUUGCGAUAUAUUAUUGUUUGACACAAGAUACACUUAUGGAACUUAAUUAUUCAGCUCUGAGCUGAACUGGAACUAUUUUUUCAUGAAUAAAGAUGGAUUGGCCCUAUGUAUAACCAGAGGAAUGUUGCUCUGAAAACUCAUAAAGACCUGGAUGGUUUACUGAAACCAAAAACAUCACAUCCAUCAAGAUACACAACUAUUGGUUUAUAUUUGAAGCUACCCUUUUUUGUCAGGGGAAGAUACCCUUCAAUGAGUCGCCAAAUCAGCUACAAGUGACAUCCUACGCUACAAACGGAUUCUCCCUGAAAGAGAUAUGGUCCUACAACCAAGAGUCCAAGACAGUAGAAAAAAAUAGAACUAAACAUGUUUAUAACAGAUGAUACAUCCAUAAACUCUUUAACUGCUAAGGUAUCUAUUAUAACUCAACUUGCGGGUCAGCUCAUCCAGGAUUCAAUCGCUGUCCUCCCCAUGCUCUGCAUGCAAGAGAGAAUAUCAUAAGAGAGAACAUACUGAAGGUCAAAUAACAAAAUUCUUACAGCUAAUUUAAUCAAUGGCUUGUUGCAAGUAAAUGUUCCACUUCUAUGCCACAUACUCUAGGAUAUUCUAUAUGCUUUCAGGUAUAAGGUAAACCUCAUCGCUUCUUCGCUGGACUCUUGUACCCACCAUUGAUAGAGGACAUCAUCUACGCCAAAUGAAGCCAAAAACCUUAUCUUUUUUCAUGUAAAAUUUACCAACAAAAAUUCUUAUAGGCUACAAGCGUAAUCCAGGCCCAUGCAAAGCAGAGAUCAAAUUAGAAAUUAAAACAAGAGAUGAAAUUCUUAGCAAAACAAGGACGUGCAAUUCCUGGUGCAUGGACUAUAAUACAUCACAAUUCAUGGUGCUUGAGCUACAUCCUAAGCAACACAAACUGAUCAGAUCACAGCACAAGCAUCCGUUAGUUGGAGAUCCUGUUUCCCUGAACCUCAAGACCAUUUAUUUCAUGUUAUUACCCAUUUUGAACCAAAGGAACCAAACUCAUCCAUGAUCACUUACCCUCAUCACUCUGGCUAUCAUCAUCCCCAUCAUUAUCUCCUUCAUCCUCUUCAUCAUUUUCUUCUUCCUCAUUAUCGUCAUCGUCAUCCUCAUCAGUAUCAUCAGCAUCAUCACUAUCACUUUCACUUUCAGCUGGUAUUUUGGGCUUUGGAGGAGGCACAUAACUCGUUGUGGACCUUCUACGUGAACUUGAUACAAUAUUACUUGUGUCAAUGCCCUCAAGUUCUUUU
rnacentral:misc_RNA from 1 species